CGCAGGCGUUGAUCUCCUCACCCGGUCUCAGAUGAUCGGCAGCGGUUCUCUCGGGCGGCGGAGACAGCGAGUGUCAAACGGCUGAAGAGAUCGGUGGCGGUGCGGUGUGUUCAAGUUGCCCAAACAGUGUCAGAGAUAAUACCUUAGAGGGCUUGUUUGCUGACUUCACAAUCCAUGCCGGCCUGCUUUGACAUAAAAUUUGUCACAGUAAACGGUGACUAUCACAAGGCCUUAUACUAAUGGAGCUCCAGACAAAUCGUUUCCAUGGGUACAGCAUGAGCGAUCCUGAUGUCAGGUGAGAUUAACCUUCCACCUUUCCUCAACCCUUCUCAGUGUUUUUAAAACUGUAUCCUCGUCCACUACCCUUCCAUCAUCCUGUUUCUUUUCCAGGCAAUAUCGAUCUUAGAUAGUUCUCUUCUUUUCGUCGAUUUCACUGUUUUUUGUACACUGUACUGUCAAUCAGUCCUCCUGACCUCAUGCGAGAUCCAAGGAGUACGUAGUAAGAGUGAUCCCAUCACUUUGCUGAAGGACUGCACGAGCAACAACCAUAUACACACAAACUACUGGAGGCAUUAUCAGUUUUGAUUACUGUACCAUUUAUUUUACCUGGAAAGAAUGUAGUCUAUGUCAUGCGACAUUACAUUGAUUUUAAACAUAAAAAUACUUCUUGUUUUUUAGAAUUAAUCAUUUAUGUGUUGGAAAUGUGGAACCUUGACACGUCAUUGAUGCAGCACAGUUGUCCAUCUCAGAGCCCUGACUGGAAGAUUUUUUCCAAUGAUCCACUGGAUCAACUCCAAUCUAGACAACCCUGCUAUUAUUCACCAGAUUAAAUAAAUAAUGUAAUAAUUUAGCUUAUGUAUGUUUUAUUAUUUUAAUUAAUAUGUAGUGGUUACCAUAUUAUGGGCGUACAGUAGACGUCAUUGAAACACACCACACGUAUUACCAUACACUCACCAGCAGAGGUCGCGC